UUCUAGGUACUGUCCAGCACCUAAAUUAAUAGUUGUUGCAAAUAAAUACACCACAGCCAUUGACAUCUGUUCUAGCCUCUGUUUCCUGGUGAGAGUGAAGUAGACCAGCUUGUUGAAAUUAUUAAGGUGUAUAGCUUCAU